rnacentral:rRNA from 1 species
CACGGGGGGAGCAAGCGUUGUUCGGAAUCACUGGGCGUAAGGGCGUGUAGGCGGUCAGGUAAGUGGGAUGUGAAAUGCCCCGGCUCACCCGGGGACCGGCAUCCCAAACUGCUUGGCUUGAGUAUGGGAGAGGAUGAGGGAAUUCCUGGUGUAGCGGUGAAAUGCGUAGAUAUCAGGAGGAACACCGGUGGCGAAGGCGCUCAUCUGGCCCAAUACUGACGCUGAGGCGCGAAAGCUAGGGGAGCAAACGGG